AUGGUGGGCUGGCUGGUGGCGUGCUGUGCUCUACACGUUUUAGGUCCAAGGUCUCGAGCGGCGGCGGCGGCGGCGGCGGAGAUGAGGGCGGUGAACGGCGAGGUGGUCUCGUCGAAGCCGGUGGGCUUACACAAGGCCGCCCGCGUGUUCAGCCGCUUCGCGGCCAGAGAGGCGUCAAGGCUGCCCGCCGGGGCGGGCGUGCUGGUCCUCUGCGCGGCCGAGGCCGCCGCCGAGCUCCACGCCUUCCGCUGCGCCCGUGUGGAUCCCGAUGGCGAGGCUGAGACGGAGGUGGUGCAGGGCGGAGAUGGGCGGCGCAAGAAGAGGAGGAAGACGGGGCGCGAAGGUGUGUUACUAGAGUAG
rnacentral:rRNA from 1 species